CCCAGCCAUGUCUGCGUUACAGAGUACUUCUCCUUAGAAAGUCUAUCUGCUUUGAGCUUACUCCAGGGUAGUGAGUUCAUCUCUUACUGAACACUGGCCUGGAAGAGUCACCUGAUUCUCAGAAACUGGCCUAAGGGAGAGCACACUCAAAAGUGCCGAGUCUCCAAGGAAGAAGAGAGCUCUGAAUGGCAGCCGGAAGGGACAGAUAUCCCCACCAUCAAAAUGGUCAAGACACUGAGUACAGAGUGGGAUCAUCAGAUCGGAAAUGUUUCAGAUCCACAGAGCCGGGGCUGCUGGCUGAGCCCGCAGCACAGUGUGAAGGACUGAGUACCCUUCGACUAUCCAGGUCUGAUGUGUGACUUUAGCCAGAAUGAGGCCAAUUUACUGUUAUUCCCAGAGCCCAGGGCAAUUUUCACAUGAAGGGAAGAUGCACAUUUGUGGCCAAAUAGGCAGAUUUGGACAUUGGACUGGAUGCUAAAAUGUCCCCCUGUGCUUGAGGCAGGCACACAGCCGGAUGACUGCCUGGAAGCUGCCUGAAACAUUAUUCUAUUUCCAUGGUCUGGGCUGAUUAGAAGCCAAGCAUUUGGAAAGGAUCUGGGAAUAGCUGGGGGGUUGCAUUCCAGCUACUUGAAAACAAUGGCACAACCCACAUUUUCUGCAGCCCUCAACCUAUGUCGCCUUCCCUGAGCAUGGCUGACAAGGUGGGUGGUGGGCACGCCAGAAACAUCAUUCUAGGCAGAGAAGACAAAUCAGGGAAAUAU
rnacentral:lncRNA from 1 species